CGAAAUAUAGCUUAACUAAAGCAUCUCGCUUACACCGAGAAAUUGUCCGUGAAAACCAGACUGUUUCGA
rnacentral:tRNA from 1 species